rnacentral:lncRNA from 1 species
CUCCCCGCGAGUCUUCCCCUGGUGAAUGCAAGCGAGCCAGCUGCUGCCUGAACUCCGGUGCGCCGGGUUUUCAGAGCUGCCACAAGCGCGAGGAGGGAGGGGGGCACACAGCAGCCACAGAGCACUGGGUUCAUAACUAGGAUUGGUCGCAAGUAGGGAGCUUUUGCCACUCCGCUGGGACCCUGGGACGCUGGCGGCAUCGUGCGCUGGGUUCUCCUAAGAGCUGCUUUGGGUGCCUCGGAUUCAUUUGGCAUUGUAGAAUUUUCUAACUGAGGAAAUUCCGCUAGAGCUCACUUGGGAAUUUCUGCAGUUUGGUGUCAGAGAAUCAAAUUCUUCAGACUGAGCUAAAGGAAACACUCCAUGUGGGUUCUGAUUGAAAACAAAGGGGAUUAUUGACACAUAGUAUCUCCACAGCAUGUGGCUCUCAGAGCUGCCCUAAAAGUAAAUUGAUUGACAGAACCUGACUAAAUCAAGAGACCAAAGAUAAACAGGAGAGGUGACAACAGAAAUUAGAUCUGCACAUUCAUUUCUUCAGAAAAGUUAGACUGAAGAAGAAAAAAAAAAAAGAUGCAAGCUGCUUCCUGCUGUGAGACAGCUUUAGUCUCCUGAAUUUUUGGUGCAGUUGUUAUAAAACAGAGGAAAAUCGAUCAUGUGUUCUUUGGAGAGAAACAACUCAAACUCAUCAUGUCCUUCAAAAGCAUCAUAAAAUUCUGUGAA